rnacentral:rRNA from 1 species
UCGGGAAUCUUGGACAAUGGGCGCAAGCCUGAUCCAGCCAUGCCGCGUGAGUGAAGAAGGCCUUCGGGUUGUAAAGCUCUUUUACCAGGGACGAUAAUGACGGUACCCGAAGAAGAAGCUCCGGCUAACUUCGUGCCAGCAGCCGCGGUAAUACGAAGGGAGCUAGCGUUGUUCGGAAUCACUGGGCGUAAAGCGCACGUAGGCGGAUAGUUAAGUCAGGGGUGAAAUCCUGGGGCUCAACCCCAGAACUGCCUUUGAUACUGGCUGUCUCGAGGUCGAGAGAGGUUGGUGGAAUUCCUAGUGUAGAGGUGAAAUUCGUAGAUAUUAGGAAGAACACCAGUGGCGAAGGCGGCCAACUGGCUCGAUACUGACGCUGAGGUGCGAAAGCGUGGGGAGCAAACAGGAUUAGAUACCCCCGUAGUCCCUGAGCGGGCUGGCAAGGCGCAU